rnacentral:rRNA from 1 species
GUUCCCUACGGGGGGCAGCAGUGAGGAAUAUUGGUCAAUGGGCUUACGCCUAAACCAGCCAAGUCGCGUGAGGGAAGACUGCCCUAUGGGUUGUAAACCUCUUUUGUCGGGGAGCAAAAGCCGGACGUGUCCGGCUGUGAGAGUACCCGAAGAAAAAGCAUCGGCUAACUCCGUGCCAGCAGCCGCGGUAAUACGGAGGAUGCGAGCGUUAUCCGGAUUUAUUGGGUUUAAAGGGUGCGCAGGCGGAUUUUUAAGUUA